UAAACCCUCACUCUAUCAAUCUGAAGUCUAAAGGACUAAACCUUUCAUCUCUUACAAGACGAUGAAGCUAUCGCGAUUGCUACAACAUUCCAGUUGCCUAGGGCUUUUGUUUGGAGAUGUUAGAUACUAAGUGAUUGAAGGCCCAGCUUCCUGUCUUGAAAGUUCUUCUGUUGCAUACAGUGCUCCCACAAGUGUGGGAUGCUUUUAUCAGGUCAAUCCGCUGGGUCAAUCCGGGUUUUACAACAAAUUGUAAACAGCUUCUUGGCAACAAAUCAGAGAGGGAAAAUGCUUCUUGCAGUGAACAUUCUGCUCCUGAGCCUUUUCCACUGGGGACUGUGGGCACCCUUCUACAUCUAGUUCUAGUCCGUUCUCUUAUGUGUAUGGUACACUUUGUUCAAAUGAACUCAAAAGGAAAGGAUUUUCAAAAUUUUUAAUUUGUUUACAUUUGAGCAACGGUGGUAUAUCAAGUUAUACUUCCUUUGAUUGAACUUAUCUGUUCACUGAUACUAGGUUUUGAGAUAUUUGAAGUUGUGCAUUAUUGAGAAGUUUCUUAUUAGUCCAUUUCGUGCCUCUUUAUUAUAUUGAAAUAACAAUAAAGCCAUAAUAGUUCCUUUGACCCUACUGUAAGAACUUGAAUUUGAUUAUGAAGUUAUUUCAAAUUUCUUAAGGUUUGUGUUACUUGUUCUUAUAGUUUCUGAUUUUCUGGUGGCUAUUGUUGUCUACAUGGGAAUUCUUUGGGGAAAUAUGUUGAUGUUAGAGAUGCUUCAAGGUUGCAAGCUCUUACAUUCCAGGCUGGCAUUUCAACUGCUAGGCAGGAUUUUGCUGCAAACGGUAGUAUAGACAUUUAUGUGAACAUUUUUCUAUGAGUCUUUCAAGCUUGGUUGCUACGUGUGAUUAUAUAUCUCAAACUGCAAAGAAGUUUUGCAGAACGUAUAUAUGCUCCUUACUCUGUUUUCAAGGGAAAAGCUGCACUCUCAGUUCAACCUGUCCCACCAACUUUCACUAAGUUGGGUUCAGGGAAUGUUAAAGUUGAACGCCGUGGUAUUAUGAUGUUGACUUUCAUGCCUGCUAUGGGUGAGCGCAAGUAUGACUAUGAAAAGCGGCAGGUAGAAUUCUUCAUAUUUUCACUACCAACUAUCUUAAUCUGUUUAUCAAUCAAGCAUAGCCCUGGCCCCACCUCCAGUAAUAGUGAAUUUAGUUUCUAUCCCUCCCCUCCAGAGGUUGGGCCUGAUUCUGUUGAUAUUUCUUUAGCAUUUUGCUUUGUCAGCAACAGAGGUUGGUUCUUUGAUUAGCUUGGGUCCCAAAGAUUCUUCUGAAUUCUUCCAUGAUCCUUCAAUGUUGUCAAGUAAUGCUGGACAAGUGAGAAAGAGCUUAUCAAUUAAGCCACAGGCAGAUGGUGGUGGUUAUUUUAUGUCAUUAACUGUUGUUAACAAUAUUUUAAGAACCAAUGACCGAUUCAAUGUUCCUCUCACAGCUGGUGAAUUUGCAGUUUUGAAGACAGCUUGCAGUUUUGCAUUGCCCCAUAUCAUGGGUUGGGAUCGGUUGACUGCCAAGCUGCCCACAGAGAAGGUGGGAAGUCCACCGAAAGCGAAUCAGCAAGAGCCUGGUUUAGAGUGGGAUAGGUGAAGCUAUCCGCCUCAUGCUUUGUAGAUUUAGAGCAUUGACUUUUUGGUUUUGCUGAACAAUGUAUAUUUGUGUUACAUUUUCUAACAUGAAACUAAACUAGAGUGUUCGGAUCCAGUUUGGUUUUCAGUUCUUGUUAAGAACCAAGACCAAACCAAAUAUAACUAAAUUUUUGGUUUUGGUUUGAUUUGUUUUUUCAAUGUUUUAAUUUUG
rnacentral:misc_RNA from 1 species